rnacentral:rRNA from 1 species
GUAAGGCCGGGAACUCAAAGCAGAUCUCGAGAGUGAUCUCGGGUCAGAUUGAACGCGGGGGGCAGGCCUAACACACGCAAGUCUAGCGGUAACACAAGAAAACCUGCUUUUUUGCUGACGAGCGGCGGACGGGUGAGUAAUGUAUGGGGAUCUGCCCGAUAGAGGGGGAUAACUACUGGAAACGGUGGCUAAUACCGCAUAAUGUCUCAGGACCAAAGCAGGGGAUCUUCGGACCUUGCACUAUCGGAUGAACCCAUAUGGGAUUAGCUAGUAGGUGGGGUAAAGGCUCACCUAGGCGACGAUCUCUAGCUGGUCUGAGAGGAUGAUCAGCCACACUGGGACUGAGACACGGUCCAGACUCCUACGGGAGGCAGCAGUGGGGAAUAUUGCACAAUGGGCGCAAGCCUGAUGCAGCCAUGCCGCGUGUAUGAAGAAGGCCUUAGGGUUGUAAAGUACUUUCAGCGGGGAGGAAGGUGAUGAGGUUAAUACCCUCAGCAAUUGACGUUACCCGCAGAAGAAGCACCGGCUAACUCCGUGCCAGCAGCCGCGGUAAUACGGAGGGUGCAAGCGUUAAUCGGAAUUACUGGGCGUAAAGCGCACGCAGGCGGUCUGUUAAGUCAGAUGUGAAAUCCCCGAGCUUAACUUGGGAAUUGCAUCUGAAACUGGUUGGCUUGAGUCUUGUAGAGGGGGGUAGAAUUCCAUGUGUAGCGGUGAAAUGCGUAGAGAUGUGGAGGAAUACCGGUGGCGAAGGCGGCCCCCUGGACAAAGACUGACGCUCAGGUGCGAAAGCGUGGGGAGCAAACAGGAUUAGAUACCCUGGUAGUCCACGCUGUAAACGAUGUCGAUUUAGAGGUUGUGGCCUUGAACCGUGGCUUCUGGAGCUAACGCGUUAAAUCGACCGCCUGGGGAGUACGGCCGCAAGGUUAAAACUCAAAUGAAUUGACGGGGGCCCGCACAAGCGGUGGAGCAUGUGGUUUAAUUCGAUGCAACGCGAAGAACCUUACCUACUCUUGACAUCCAGAGAAUCCGUUAGAGAUGGAUGAGUGCCUUCGGGAACUCUGAGACAGGUGCUGCAUGGCUGUCGUCAGCUCGUGUUGUGAAAUGUUGGGUUAAGUCCCGCAACGAGCGCAACGCUUAUCCUUUGUUGCCAGC